rnacentral:rRNA from 1 species
CCUACGGGAGGCAGCAGUAAGGAAUAUUGGUCAAUGGAGGCAACUCUGAACCAGCCAUGCCGCGUGCAGGAUGAAGGCCCUAUGGGUCGUAAACUGCUUUUGUACCAGAGAAAACCCGAGUACGUGUACUCGGUUGAUAGUAUGGUAAGAAUAAGCAUCGGCUAACUUCGUGCCAGCAGCCGCGGUAAGACGAAGGAUGCAAGCGUUAUCCGGAUUCAUUGGGUUUAAAGGGUGCGUAGGCGGACUGAUAAGUCAGUGGUGAAAUCUCUCGGCUUAACCGAGAAACUGCCAUUGAUACUGUCAGUCUAGAGUACAGAUGAUGUGGGCGGAAUAUGACAUGUAGCGGUGAAAUGCUUAGAUAUGUCAUAGAACACCGAUUGCGAAGGCAGCUCACAAAACUGUAAACUGACGCUGAGGCACGAAAGUGCGGGGAUCAAACAGGAUUAGAUACCCUGGUAGUCCGCACCGUAAACGAUGAUUACUCGUUGUUGGCAAUAUGACCGUCAGCGACCAAGCGAAAGCGAUAAGUUAAUUCCACCUUGGGGAGUACGCCGGNACGGUGAAACUUAAGGAAUUGACGG